rnacentral:rRNA from 1 species
CUAACACAUGCAAGUCGAGCGGGCAUCGCAAGAUGUCAGCGGCAGACGGGAGAGUAACACGUGGGAACGUACCCUUCAGUUCGGAAUAACCCAGGGAAACUUGGACUAAUACCGAAUACGUCCGUAAGGAGAAAGAUUUAUCGCUGAAGGAUCGGCCCGCGUCCGAUUAGCUAGUUGGUGGGGUAAUGGCCCACCAAGGCGACGAUCGGUAGCUGGUCUGAGAGGAUGAUCAGCCUCACUGGGACUGAGACACGGCCCAGACUCCUACGGGAGGCAGCAGUGGGGAAUAUUGGACAAUGGGCGCAAGCCUGAUCCAGCCAUGCCGCGUGGGUGAUGAAGGCCCUAGGGUUGUAAAGCCCUUUCGGCGGGGAAGAUAAUGACGGUACCCGCAGAAGAAGCCCCGGCUAACUUCGUGCCAGCAGCCGCGGUAAUACGAAGGGGGCUAGCGUUGCUCGGAAUCACUGGGCGUAAAGCGCACGUAGGCGGAUUGUUAAGUCAGGGGUGAAAUCCUGGAGCUCAACUCCAGAACUGCCUUUGAUACUGGCAAUCUCGAGUUCGGGA